CCUACGGGAGGCAGCAGUGAGGAAUAUUGGACAAUGGGCGCAAGCCUGAUCCAGCCAUGCCGCGUGCAGGAUGAAGCAUCUAUGGUGUGUAAACUGCUUUUAUACAGGAAGAAACCUCCCGACGUGUCGGGAAUUGACGGUACUGUAAGAAUAAGGAUCGGCUAACUCCGUGCCAGCAGCCGCGGUAAUACGGAGGAUCCAAGCGUUAUCCGGAAUCAUUGGGUUUAAAGGGUCCGUAGGCGGGCCAGUAAGUCAGUGGUGAAAUCUCUCCGCUCAACGGGGAAAUGGCCAUUGAUACUGCUGGUCUUGAAUUAUUAGGAAGUAACUAGAAUAUGUAGUGUAGCGGUGAAAUGCUUAGAGAUUACAUGGAAUACCAAUUGCGAAGGCAGGUUACUACUAAUGGAUUGACGCUGAUGGACGAAAGCGUGGGUAGCGAACAGGAUUAGAUACCCUGGUAGUCCACGCCGUAAACGAUGGAUACUAGCUGUUGGGGGCAACUUCAGUGGCUAAGCGAAAGUGAUAAGUAUCCCACCUGGGGAGUACGUUCGCAAGAAUGAAACUUAAAGAGUAGUAGCGNGNGAGAGAGACGAGACGACGACGGAGGGAGGAGG
rnacentral:rRNA from 1 species